rnacentral:lncRNA from 1 species
AUACAAAUUUACUUAACAACACAAAAUCAAAGUCGCAGUAGCUCGUAGUUAAAUACACACUAAAAUUUUUAUCAAACGGUUGACUACUUACAAUUAUUAAUUACACAAAUCAACAACAGAAGCCUAGUAACUUGGUUGAAACCUACUCCCUCAAACUCCGCCUUGAAUCCUGCACAAUCUAUUAGGGUAUGAGCAUUCUAAUGCCCAGUAGAGUACUGCCAAACCCCUCAAGGUCAACUCUCACAGUCAAACAAAGUGUCAUCCAUCAAACAACAGAAGAUACAUAAAUUAUGCAACCAUACAAGAUAAAUACAUUUGCAUAUGCGGUGAUGCCAUGAACUCGCUCCCUUCUGAUUCCACUAAUUCGUACCUUAGGGCAACAAGGCUGCAUGUCCCAUACCAUGCGUUUUACCACUGCGGCUCUGAAUACCCUAAAAUAUGAACUAGCACCCAUUCGUCCCUUAACCCAGUUUUCUUUUGUUUACGAAUUUCUCAACUUUCACUUUUCCUUAGAGGCUUUGCUCCCAUCACCUUAAUAUAUUCAAACCCUGCUCUUGUCACCUGAAUAUAUUCCACAUUUUUUUACUCAGAUAUAUCUAAGGCCUUCUUCCACUCCUUAGAUAUAUGUCAAAUGACACACAAAGCCUUAACACCAUUUAUGAUGCAUAUGUAAUCUAGCGCAAACAUCAUUUAUCUCUAUUGAAUAAUAAUACAGAUAAUAACAAUAAUAUUUCAAGCUCCAUCACAUGAAUAAUCUAUUCACCCAACAUCAAAAAUAAUAUCCAUGGAGAAACAUCGAUAAUAAUAUUCACAUAACAUCAAAUAAUAUUCAUCGAGGAAAGCAACAAUAAUAUUCAUAUUUAUAACAUCAUAUAUAAGCACGAAGAUUAAAAGUGACAUAGCCCUAUCAUCGGGAAAUCAAGAAAACCUAUCUCAUGUCCAGCCAGCUUAACCUUGUGCGGGUUCGUCCUCGAAAGUACGCAGAGUAGAACACCUUCAAAGAAUCAUUUACUUGAGAUGAUAGUGGCUAAUUUGAUCAACUGAAUGACAAGUAACAAGCCAUUUGAGAGAAAGUACACAUCUUUGGAUAUGUUAUAAAGAGGAGAAUUUGGAGUAACUAUCAUGAAGAAACCAUAGUGUUUUGAGCUUCCAAAAUGAGUGUUCUGGACUGAAAACAAGGGAAGGAACUAGGGUCGAAGACUAUAAACAAGUUCCACUCUAAAAGUUCCCGAGGUGGCUACAGAUGUCUGAUCAACCUAAAGUUUUGAUAUGUUAUAAUAGACAAAAUUCCGAACAACUUUGAUGAAGGAACCAAAGUCAUUUGAGUAUAGGAGAUCAUAGAAACAUAUUGAAACCGAGCAUACUACUGCAAAAUCAGAAAAUGGUAAACAUAUUGUGAUCAUAC